GUCUGGCUGGCUCAGUUGGUGCAGCGUAUGAUUCUUGAUCUUGGGAUUGUGAGUUCAAGUCCCACGCUGGGUG
rnacentral:tRNA from 1 species